rnacentral:rRNA from 1 species
UACAGAGGUCCCAAGCGUUGUUCGGAUUCACUGGGCGUAAAGGGUGCGCAGGUGGGUUUGCAAGUUCGAUGUGAAAGCCCCGGGCUUAACCCGGGAAUGGCAUUGGAUACUGCAGAUCUGGAGGAUCGGAGGGGGGACUGGAAUUCUUGGUGUAGCAGUGAAAUGCGUAGAUAUCAAGAGGAACACCAGUGGCGAAGGCGAGUCCCUGGACGAUACCUGACACUGAGGCACGAAAGCUAGGGGGAGCAAACAGG